rnacentral:rRNA from 1 species
UACGGGGGGGGCAAGCGUUGUUCGGAAUUACUGGGCGUAAAGGGCGCGUAGGCGGCCAACUAAGUCAGACGUGAAAUCCCCAGGCUCAACCUGGGAACUGCGUCUGAUACUGGAUGGCUUGAGUUUGGGAGAGGGAUGCGGAAUUCCAGGUGUAGCGGUGAAAUGCGUAGAUAUCUGGAGGAACACCGGUGGCGAAGGCGGCAUCCUGGGCCAACACUGACGCUGAGUGAGCGAAAGCCAGGGGAGCAAACGGG